ensembl:scaRNA
GCUGGAGGACUAAAGAGACUGAGUCUGGAGAGUGAGACUCAGGGGACAGUGGCCUCCUAAAAGCAAAGGGAUGGUGAGAGCAGUCCUGCCCCAGAGCAGCCCAGGGCUCACUGUGCCAUCUCACACUG